ensembl:lncRNA
CUGGCAUACUAUCAAAGUGUUGGAACUAUGUUCCAAUCAGGACUAUAUAUUUAUCAUACAUGACAACCAUGUCACACACUAUAACCCACUAGUAAAACUUCAUCUAAUUGUCACUCAAGGGGCAUACUGGACUUCAACUAUGCUUUUUUUUCACGAUGUUCUGAUGCUUCAUCCUAAAGCAAUGCACUGCCCAUGAAUAAUAGAACAGGUGGCAGGUUAUAGAGAGGUAAAACAUUACAAAGUAGAGCUAAGUUCCAAGGGAUUUUCCAUUUAAUUGUGCUUGCAUCAAAGUAAGGCCCAUCAACUUACCCUUUGUCGGUCAUAAAUCAUAACUUUCAAUCUCAUUCACUUGAUGUGUGAAUCAAUCUGGGGUUCAGGAAAGCUUGACUAAGCGUAUGCUGCAAGACACAACAUACAGCAGGUGUCCCACGGAACUGAUUCACAGCCAGUCACAUGACGGACUCCUAGCGAGAGUUAAUUUAAGGUCAAACCACUAGGUUUCGAACUCGCAAGGUAUAGCCUGCUAAGAAAUGACUGUGUGGUACAACUUGCUGUUUUAAAUUGUUAAUAUUUUUUUCAUGGGGCACAUAAUUAAAAGUUUCCCAAUCCCCAAAAGCCAUCUCCUCUUUUCCGCAUCCAUUUGUCUCUACAUGAAGAUAAGUCUGUCCUUCCGUCCUCAAGACCAUUUUUUAAUACAAUAUUGUACUUUCAAUCAGCCCAUUCCAAUUAAGCCAGUAUUACAAAUGUACAAAUGUGUGCCACAGUGCCUCCUACAGGUUGUUUAUAUAUUCACAAGAGAAGCAGAACAACCAAAUAGUCUUAUUUUUAAUGACAUCAUCGAAGCAGAAGAUGCAUUAUUUAUGAAAAGGUAAAAAAAGAGCACGUCUUAGUCUUUCUCAAUAAGUUAAAUCCAUCAGCGUGCAGAAGGGACUUAGAGGACAUUUUUUUUUCUUUUUCAAAAAACAAAAACAAAAGCAAAAAAAUAAAACAAACAAAAAAUAGCAAGCAGAACUGGGGAGGGGGUAUUCAUCCAGUCAAUAAACAUACAAAAAAAAACAUCCCCCCUCUCUCUCAUGUUUUGUCUUUCAUUUUGACAUUUCUGAAAACAGGGAAAAAGAAAAGGACCAAAAAACAGGGCAAAAACUGAUGCAGGUGGCCCUGAAGUUCUCGGGCCUAUAUGGGCUUCAUGUUUUUUUUUUGCAUUCCUUCAAUUUUUUUUUUCAACAAUUAACUGAUAAGCAUAUGAUUACAGCUGAUAAAAAAAAAACAAGAAUAUAAUUACAAUGGCAGACAUUGUCAUAAUAAUAAUAACAACAACAAUAAUAAUAAUAAUGGUGAAUAAACAGUCCUGUACAGACAGCCGAGCCCGUUGAUAGGUUGAAGCCUAUAACCCGGUGAGACGAUUGGUCAGUUCCUGCAAGGCUCGGGCUCAGUGACUGGCCGAGUGGACAGUGCAGGCUGGCUGGUGGUCAAACACUGCGGACGUCAUCUUCCCUCAGCCGCCUCCUGUCUG